rnacentral:rRNA from 1 species
UACGUAGGGUGCAAGCGUUGUCCGGAAUCAUUGGGCGUAAAGCGCGUGUAGGCGGUUCGGUAAGUCUGCUGUGAAAGUCCAGGGCUCAACCCUGGGAUGCCGGUGGAUACUGCUGAACUAGAGUGCGGAAGAGGCGAGUGGAAUUCCCGGUGUAGCGGUGAAAUGCGCAGAUAUCGGGAGGAACACCAAUUGCGAAGGCAGCUCGCUGGGACGUUACUGACGCUGAGACGCGAAAGCGUGGGGAGCAAACAGG